UGUUUUUAGCCGAUCUAAUCGUGCACUAUAUAAGUAUAACCAUCUGCCUAUGCCCAAGGUUCAGUCAGCUGAAGCAGCAUUAUGACAAACACCAAACUAGUUCCUAAUAAACCAAGCUUUGUGAUUCUAGGUUUAGGAACCAACAUGAUGCCCAAUAGGAUGAAAGAGAAAGUAAAUAAACAACAAUUCAACCAAAUUACUGACAGAAAUGAAACGAGUGAUGAAAGGAACUCAUGGUAGAGAAGAGAUUAAAGUCGAAGUUUCUCCUCCCAAGUCCCACAACCAGGUCUGAAACACGGCAGGCUCCAUCAAUACAGAUUAAAAUUGAACGCAUUGAAUAAAGAAGAUCAAUCCUGGAGUACCCUUUGACCAUCACAUUCAGAAAACGUAAUAUAUGAUCAACAUCAAUUGAAAACACUCGACAUGAACCAUUAUCGAAACCACCACCAGCUAUGCAUAGAAUAAGCAAGCAUACGAAUUUAAAACAUAAAGAUUAUAGUGCUCCACACAAAGGAAAAGAAUGAUUAGAUCCUACAAAUCCCGGUGGUGAGAUAAAGAUGAAUUGCGAGUUAAGGGGAAAAAAUAAAAACAUUAUCCAGCCACUGUCAGCUUCAAAGAUACAAUUUAAGAGAUGAGAUAGAACUUACUGUUGUAAGCAGGAAAGCAUGUGCAUAUGUGUCGACUGAUGAAUUAUAGGCUAUAAAGCAAGUAUUAAGGAGAGGGGGGAAAAACUAAAAUAUGUUAUAGGAAUUAACCCUGAAAACUUUGACAUAAAGACAUUAGAUCAUAGAAACCAAUUUCCCGGAUAAGAUAUGAUACAAGUGAAUAUAUCAAGUAAACAUAUAUACAUAUAUGAACUAAAAUAGUAUGUUAACAUAGUAGGUACAAAAAGAAAGAGAACCGAUAAAAGUAAAAGCAAAGUGUGAUUCUGGACCUAAUUCAUUUAUCUUGACCUAACCGCUAAAAUAUGUAUGUGCUCCUCUAGUACUAUUAACAUUAAUAUUCAUGGAGAGAGUAAUUAUGUUGGGUUAGUGAAGUAAAAACCCUAAAUUUGUAAGUGAUGCAAGUAUUGCUUAAAACCCUAAUCUUAGGAAAUAAAUGAGAAGAAAAAAAAUUAGGAAAAAAAUGGAAAAAUAAAUAAUGGAAAGGCCCUGGAAUGGAGUGCAACUGCAGGUAGCAAAACUAGGAAAUGGAGUAAGAGAGAAGGUGGAGCAUAAUAAUAGAAAAGAAAAGAAAAAGGAGCUAGCUGCAGAAAUUAUGGAUUGUGGAGGCCAGGAUGAAAGGAAUGAGUUAUAGCAUGUAUGUAUAUGUAUGUGUAUGUAUGUGUGUAUUGUUCAUGGGCAAAUUAAAGGGAAAGGAUAUGGGUCGUUGUUGUCAUGAGAGUCAGAUACAGGAAAGCGACCCAACAUCUGAAUAUAUCUAACGAGGGAGAGUGGAGAAUAGUAUGUAAUGGGGGAAGAGGAAGGAAAAAGAAUAUUAGAAAUC
rnacentral:lncRNA from 1 species